rnacentral:rRNA from 1 species
GACAGAGGGGGCAAGCGUUGCUCGGAAUUACUGGGCGUAAAGGGUGCGUAGGCGGUUCGUUAAGUCUGUCGUGAAAUCCCCGGGCUCAACCUGGGAAUGGCGAUGGAAACUGGGCAGCUAGAGUGUGUCAGAGGAUGGUGGAAUUCCCGGUGUAGCGGUGAAAUGCGUAGAGAUCGGGAGGAACAUCAGUGGCGAAGGCGGCCAUCUGGGACAACACUGACGCUGAAGCACGAAAGCGUGGGGAGCAAACAGG